rnacentral:rRNA from 1 species
UACGUAGGGGGCGAGCGUUGUCCGGAUUUAUUGGGCGUAAAGAGCUCGUAGGCGGCUGUUCGAGUCGGGUGUGAAAUCCUGAGGCUUAACCUUGGGUCUGCAUUCGAUACUGGGCGGCUUGAGUCUGGUAGGGGGAUCUGGAAUUCCUGGUGUAGCGGUGGAAUGCGCAGAUAUCAGGAAGAACACCAACGGCGAAGGCAGCUCGCUGGGACGGUACUGACGCUGAGGCGCGAAAGCGUGGGGAGCGAACAGG